UGGCGGCAAUAGCGCGGUGGUCCCACCUGACCCCAUGCCGAACUCAGAAGUGAAACGCCGUAGCGCCGAUGGUAGUGUGGGGUCUCCCCAUGCGAGAGUAGGGAACUGCCA
rnacentral:rRNA from 1 species